CCUACGGGAGGCAGCAGUGGGGAAUAUUGGGCAAUGGGCGAAAGCCUGACCCAGCAACGCCGCGUGAAGGAAGAAGGCUUUCGGGUUGUAAACUUCUUUUGACAGGGAAGAGCAGAAGACGGUACCUGUCGAAUAAGCCACGGCUAACUACGAGCCAGCGGCCGCGGUAAUACGUCGUGGGCAAGCGUUGUCCGGAUGUACGGGGUGUAAAGGGCGGGUAGCCGGGCUGACAAGUCAGAUGGGAAAUCCGGGGGCUCAACCAACGAACUGCAUUUGAUACUGUUGGUCUUGAGUAUCGGAGAGGCAGGCGGAAUGCGUGGUGUAGCGGUGAAAUGCAUAGAUAUUAGGAAGAACACCGGUGGCGAAGGC
rnacentral:rRNA from 1 species